GCCAAAGCUUCAAUUAUGACCUAAGAAUCUGGCGGUUAUACGAGGGGAGAUCAAAAGGUUUUGCAACUUGGCUAUAACCAAAUAUCUGACCGUGAUCUCUCUCUACCUUUUGUUUAGGUCAUCUCUGCAGUCUAGCAAGGUCUGAAUAUCAAGCCUUCCAGUUCGUUACUUGGUCUGCAUCAGUCA
rnacentral:lncRNA from 1 species